rnacentral:lncRNA from 1 species
GGUAAUAGAUUGGAGAGGCAGUGUUUCUAGAAUUGACUAGAAAUCUCUGUUAAGUUUAACAUGCUGCAUCUGUGGUAAAAAGUUUAAUAUUGAGCUCAACUAGUAGGAUUCUAACCUUCAAGCAUCAAAUGUUGUGAGGUCCUCCUACCUAGUAACAGAGCAAUGAUUGUCAAAGAUGGGAUAGGUCAUGAAGUUAAUUUAAACUCUUCCUCAGGCACAGCACAUCACACUACAGAUAUUAGAUAUAUUUCUUAGAGACUAGACAAUUGGAUUUUAAUUGGAUUAUAAUUGGGGGCAAGGGAGAAAUUAAAAAAUAAAAUAAAAUAAAAUAAAAAUAUAUAUAUAUAUAUAUAAUCAUAACACCUGGGAACCUUCAUAUAAAUGCAAGAUGGUGAGGGCAAGACAGCUGAAGCCUGUGUGGAUGAAGGACAGCAGUAAAGUGGUGAAAAUGUGAUACAGGUGCUAUCAUGGCUUGGCAGUGAGUUGCAGGAUGAGGAUGAGGUUUCAUCCUGCUGGUGGCCAUGUUACGUGGCUGCUGUACAUUAUCCACCCUGUUGUUUGUCACAGGGUCCUGAAAAUCACAAUUUGAUGUUUCUGUAGUAAAGAUGUGAAACAAGUAUCAAAAAGGUGGAGGAACUGAAGAUGUAUUAAUUUUUGCUGAUGGUCAGGACUGUUUUAUGGAAGAAACACUAACGUGAAGUGUUAAAUUCUGCACAGGUAAAGUUGAGUCAUGCUGACAGUGGAAUAGAUAUCAAUCAUAAUUCACCUGUGGGAGCUGAGCUGUAGCUGUGACAUGGUAUGGAAAGUGACUGUGGAGUGGGAAGGAGGAAGUCUGAGGUAGAGGCCAUGCAAGUGACUUCUUUGACAUACAUAGAAUCAAUCCAAUAUAUAGAAGAUCUUUUAUUUCUGGCAUGGCUGCUAUCUUCAAAUGCCAUAUACACGUAUGACCUGGAUAAAAAUACCAGACUGACAAUUCAGAAUAUAACAGUUGUUGAGUAAGCAGGAAAAAAUCUGACCUUCACUGAGAGCUCAAUCAUACGCUUCUUAGAGACACUCUUUUUUCUUCAAAACUGUUUUGGAAUAAAAUUAAAAGGAUUGUGACA